rnacentral:misc_RNA from 1 species
AGAACCUCAUGCCCUUUCUUGCCUAAGAAAGUACAACAUGAAAAGAAAACCUCAGUCAACAAAUAUAGGCCGGUAGUCCACAUUUGACAAAUGAGAAGACUUGGAAAAUCUACAAUAAUGGCAACAACAUUUUCAACAUUAUCAUCUUCAUACUGCAUCAUUACAAUGCUAUACAUACGGCAGGGCUAUUUUAGGCAUUAAUCUUAGCAAAUAGGUCACUUUCAUAUCUAUAUUAAUAGGUUAAAAUAGGAUAUAUGAAGCAAAAUACCAAACCUUUUAUUAAGAUGAGAUUUCAACAUAAAACUAUAUCAAGUUCUCAGUCCCACAACCAUAAAGGUCUGCCUAAUAUCAGCCCCCCAAUUGCAGCCUCAUUUGGUAUUGUUGUUCAGGGGGCAAAAAACUGCUUUUUAGAGAGGGGGGGGGGAAUUUAGAUGUUGAAACAAACAGUUUUGAAAAUGUUGUUUUAUUAUUUCGGUGUUUUUAUGACUAAAACAUGUCAA